rnacentral:rRNA from 1 species
UGGGAACGUGCCCAAAGGUACGGAACAACUCCGGGAAAACUGGAGCUAAUACCGUAUGUGCCCGAAAGGGGAAAGAUUCAUCGCCUUUGGAUCGGCCCGCGUCUGAUUAGCUAGUUGGCGGGGUAAUGGCCCACCAAGGCGACGAUCAGUAGCUGGUCUGAGAGGAUGACCAGCCACACUGGGACUGAGACACGGCCCAGACUCCUACGGGAGGCAG